rfam:Glomerella graminicola M1.001 genomic scaffold supercont1.17, whole genome shotgun sequence.
GGCAACAUGCCCGAGUGGUUAAGGGGACAGACUUGAACUAAACUGAUCAUCGAUCAGGGCAGUGUUGGAUAUCUGUUGACUUCGGUCGCGUAGGUUCGAACCCUGCUGUUGUCG